GAUGAACGCUAGCGGCAGGCCUAAUACAUGCAAGUCGAGGGGUAGAAGAGGCUUGCUUCUUUGGGACCGGCGCACGGGUGCGUAACGCGUAUGCAACCUACCUUCAUCUGGGGGAUAGCCCGGAGAAAUCCGGAUUAAUACCGCAUAAAAUCACAGGAUGGCAUUAUCCAAUGAUCAAACAUUUAUGGGAUGGAGAUGGGCAUGCGUGUCAUUAGCUAGUUGGCGGGGUAACGGCCCACCAAGGCGACGAUGACUAGGGGAUCUGAGAGGAUGGCCCCCCACACUGGUACUGAGACACGGACCAGACUCCUACGGGAGGCAGCAGUAAGGAAUAUUGGUCAAUGGAGGCAACUCUGAACCAGCCAUGCCGCGUGCAGGAAGACUGCCCUAUGGGUUGUAAACUGCUUUUAUUCGGGAAUAAACCUUAUUACGUGUAAUAAGCUGAAUGUACCGAAGGAAUAAGGAUCGGCUAACUCCGUGCCAGCCGCCGCUGUAACAC
rnacentral:rRNA from 1 species